rnacentral:rRNA from 1 species
AUUGAACGCUGGCGGCAUGCUUUACACAUGCAAGUCGAACGGCAGCGGGGGCUUCGGCCUGCCGGCGAGUGGCGAACGGGUGAGUAAUGCAUCGGAACGUGCCCAUGUCGUGGGGGAUAACGUAGCGAAAGCUACGCUAAUACCGCAUACGCCCUGAGGGGGAAAGCGGGGGAUUCUUCGGAACCUCGCGCGAUUGGAGCGGCCGAUGUCGGAUUAGCUAGUAGGUGAGGUAAAGGCUCACCUAGGCGACGAUCCGUAGCGGGUCUGAGAGGAUGAUCCGCCACACUGGGACUGAGACACGGCCCAGACUCCUACGGGAGGCAGCAGUGGGGAAUUUUGGACAAUGGGCGAAAGCCUGAUCCAGCCAUGCCGCGUGAGUGAAGAAGGCCUUCGGUUGUAAGACUCUUCUAGCCGGAAGAAAUACGCGCAGGAUAAUAACUCUGCGUGGAUGACGGUACCGGAAGAAGAAGCACCGGCUAACUACGUGCCAGCAGCCG